CCUACGGGAGGCAGCAGUGGGGAAUAUUGGACAAUGGGGGCAACCCUGAUCCAGCCAUGCCGCGUGAGUGAUGACGGCCUUAGGGUUGUAAAGCUCUUUUCUCCGGGACGAUAAUGACGGUACCGGAGGAAUAAGCCCCGGCUAACUUCGUGCCAGCAGCCGCGGUAAUACGAAGGGGGCUAGCGUUGCUCGGAAUCACUGGGCGUAAAGGGCGCGUAGGCGGCUGACUUAGUCGAGGGUGAAAGCCCGUGGCUCAACCACGGAAUGGCCUUCGAUACUGGUUGGCUUGAGACCGGAAGAGGACAGCGGAACUGCGAGUGUAGAGGUGAAAUUCGUAGAUAUUCGCAAGAACACCAGUGGCGAAGGCGGCUGUCUGGUCCGGUUCUGACGCUGAGGCGCGAAAGCGUGGGGAGCAAACAGGAUUAGAUACCCUGGUAGUCCACGCUGUAAACGAUGAAUGCUAGCCGUUGGUCUGCAUGCAGGUCAGUGGCGCGCUACGACAUAGCAUCCGCCGUGGGAGGUACGGUCGCGAAGAAGUUAAACGUUAAAGGUAAAGUUAGUUACGGCGUGAGACGUAGCCGACGGCGACGACGAGGGAGGAGG
rnacentral:rRNA from 1 species